AACCAUUUCCAGAUGUUUCAUGAAGACAACUUGGACCAAAUUAUCUGGCUUUGCUAAAUAAUUUCACUAAUAUGGUUCCCAGUAAUGGGAUGUAUUAUACUGAAGACGAUUACACUGAAAUUCAAUUUAAUGGUAAUGAUGAAGAAUACGCCUUCUAUGUUGUCGUUACAAACUGUAAAUUUGAUUCAAACUUUCUAAAACAAUUUUGCUUGUCAACAUUUGAAAAUGGUAUUGGCCUUAUCAAAUUCUUUUUUCCAGCCAAAGGGGAAUAUAGUAUCAAUAUCUUUUCAGAUAAAAGAAAAAUACAAUUUCCAUGCAAUUGUACAUGUGUUGCCAAAGAAAAAAACCAAAGAAAAUUAGCUAUCCUUCUGUAUGUUCAUAUAUUGUUGUUAGUACUCAACAACCAAAACAAACACCAACAAUAUUUCCUGAAAAUGAUGUAUAUACAAUUGGUAAACAAAAUCAUUUUUUAAAAAUGGGAUUAAGAGUUGAAGAUAAUUUUCAUUCAUUUCAAAAAUGUAGAAAAUCAAUUCAAUUUCAAUUUUUCAAAACUAAACCAUGCCAAUUCAAUAUUGAAUUAUUUUCAUUUAAUGAUCACGAAAUGAAAAUUGAUAGAAGCCUUUAUUCAUUUAUUCAAAAUUCUAUUUCAUCUGUUCAGUUUUUUUUGAAUUUUCCAUCUAGAGAAAUGUACAAAUGUCUCAUUUAUGGAAAAGAAUUAAAUUCUAAAAAGAAUAGCAAACUGCUCUAUAUUUGCUAUUUUGAUGUUAUUGAAGAGUUUUCAGAUGCUUUUCAAUUUCCACAAACAACUGAUCAAUGGAGAAAUAGUGAAAUAAAUUGCAUCAUUCAACCAAAAUGGACAAUUCAUUGUACAACAACUGCAAAAUUCCAAAUUCAAGGAGUUCAAUGCUGGGAAAUGAUUGCUUAUCUUUCCACCAACAAAAACCAUGUAUUAACAUUUAGCUGUGACAAUGAUAUUUGGUCAUGUGAUGUGGAUAUUGGUGAAAAAUUGGGAUAUUUAAUAAUAGGGAUAAUAUUAAAAAAAAAUCAAAGACCUUUAUUGAAAUUUUAAGAUAUAAUAUCUAUGAGAUGAUUGCAGCAGAGUCUGAAAUCAAAAGUGAAGAAGAGGAAGAAGAGGAAGAGGAGGAAGAGAAGGAAGAAGAAAAUGAAGAGGUUGUUGAGACUGAGAAAAUUUCAAAUGACAUUGUACCAAUGGAAGAAAUUGAUUUUCUAAACUAAAUGGAAAAAAUUGUCUAUAUAAGUCCAUUCAUUGAUGAGGAAGGUAAAGAAGAGGAAGAUGAAGAGGACACUAAAAAUGAAAUAGUUGAAACAAGUACUCAUUCUUUACAAGAACAAACAGCUGAUGAUGUUACUGAUGAUGAACCAAUUGAAGUAGAAGACCCUGAUAAGUUGAAUGAAAUAAAGAAAAAAUUGGCAGAAGCAGUUGACGAUAUAGAUUAUGACGCAUUGAAAUCAAUUUUAAAGAUAGCAUCAAUUAAACCAAUUUGCUAUUCAUUAAAGAAUGAACUAGCAGAGGCAAACAAAUUGAUGGACAACUUAAAAUCAAUCAAAAGUUUACAGUAUAGAAUUCUUAAACUGGAUCAGAGAUGUAUUGCUGAACUACACAAUUACAGUACUCCACCGACAAUUGUGCAUACUGUUAUGAAAUCAGUACUACUCAUCUUAUCAGUUCCAGAAUCGGAAUCUGAACAUUGGAAUGAAUGUCAAAAAUAUAUUAAAUUUGUUUCAUCAAAAUCUAUAUUAAAGAAGAUAGAUAAGUUGGAAAUAUUAAAAUUGCACCCUAGUAUUGUACUCAGGGCUAAUAACAUAAUAUCUUCUAUAAAUUUACAACAAGUAAAAGAAGCUAGUGCAGGUGCAGCUGCAUUCUUUCUUUGGAUUAGUCACAGUAUAUCAGUCUAUACAAAUGUUCAUAAAGCAAGGAUGUCAAAAUUUCAACCAGCUGGCAUUGCAUUGCAAAAGCAGAUAUUUGGGAUAAAAUAGGCCUACAAAUACACUGUGAUGUUUUGAUUUUGAUCAAUUGAUGAAUAAGUUGAUGAUGAGAAGGAUAGGGAAUUUUUAAGAAAUAUAGAAAAUAUUGAAAUGAUAAUAAAUUAUAGGCCUAAUCUAAUCUUUUUCACCUUAGUAAAACAUAUCAACAUGUUUUAAAUAUUAUUUUUCUUCAUUAAAUCAUAACAACUAAAACAAUAAAAUUUAUAUAAAUUAUACUUUGUUGUAUUAUAAAUGAAGGAAUUUCUGCCAUAUCACAACUGCAUUCGUCUUUUCAAUCCCCUUCAGUCAAUUGGUAAUCCAAUUUAUGGAAAAAAUUUCAAAACUAAUAAUAUAAAUAAUUUAUAUCUAACUGAGUAGUAGAAAAUAUAUAGAUAGUCUGUUCAGGUUUUCCAGUUAGAUCAUAACAAAUAUAUAUAAACAAAAGCUACAUGUAAUCAAGAGUGCUAUAAUACAAUUGUUUGAUCUUGUCUUUCACUUGUGGAUAAAGGGGCAUAUGAACCAGAUGCAGAAAGUUCUUGUUCACGUUGUCGAGUUGCUGAGGAAACUCUACAAAAAAAAUAUCAAAUUGAGUUAAGAGAAAAGAAAGAAAAGAAUUUUAAUUAAACAAUGAAAGUGUAUGAAGUUUUAAAAGAAAAAUAAACUUUAUUUUACAUUCACCAAUUAAUAUUGUUGUUCAUCUCCAGCAUAGAUGUUUGGCUUUUACUUGAAAAUGUAUUUGAAAGGCAUUAUUUGAUUUUUUGAUCAUAAUAAAUAAAUAUACGCUAUUCCUGUUCAAAUUGUGAUGACUAUUGAACUGUGCAUUACUCACACAUGGCGUUUUCAACAACCCACUUGGCUGAUAAAUGUUGAUGAUAUUUUAAAACCAUUUAAAAUAUCCAAAUAUCUAGGUGUAAAAUAGCUUUUGAUUUAUAGUUAGCUGGGUUCCAUCUAAGGGUUAGGGCUAGUCAACAAAGUUAAGGAGUGACAAGGGCUAGUUUAGGGUUAUUUAUAAAUUUAAUAGUUAUAUUCAAAACUUACUUUAC
rnacentral:misc_RNA from 1 species